rnacentral:rRNA from 1 species
AGUGAACGCUGGCGGCGUGCCUAACACAUGCAAGUCGAACGAGAACGGAACUAGCUUGCUAGUUUGUCAGCUAAGUGGCGCACGGGUGAGUAAUAUAUAGUUAAUCUGCCCCAAAGAAGAGAAUAAUUGUUGGAAACGACUUGUAACGCUCUAUAUGCCUUUAUUACAUAAGUAAGCAAGGGAAACAUUUAUGGCUUUGGGAUGAGACUGUACGGUAUCAGCUAGUUGGUGAGGUAAUGGCUCACCAAGGCUAUGACAUCUAACUGGUUUGAGAGGAUGAUCAGUCACACUGGAACUGAGACACGGUCCAGACUCCUACGGGAGGCAGCAGUGGGGAAUAUUGCACAAUGGAGGAAACUCUGAUGCAGCAACGCCGCGUGGAGGAUGACACAUUUCGGUGCGUAAACUCCUUUUAUUAGGGAAGAUAAUGACGGUACCUAAUGAAUAAGCACCGGCUAACUCCGUGCCAGCAGCCGCGGUAAUACGGGGGGUGCAAGCGUUACUCGGAAUCACUGGGCGUAAAGAGCAUGUAGGCUGGUUUGUAAGUUGGAAGUGAAAUCCUAUGGCUUAACCAUAGAACUGCUUCCAAAACUGCUUACCUAGAGUAUGGGAGAGGUAGAUGGAAUUUCUGGUGUAGGGGUAAAAUCCGUAGAGAUCAGAAGGAAUACCGAUUGCGAAGGCGAUCUACUGGAACAUUACUGACGCUGAGAUGCGAAAGCGUGGGGAGCAAACAGGAUUAGAUACCCUGGUAGUCCACGCCCUAAACGAUGCACACUAGUUGUUGCUAUGCUAGACAUAGCAGUAAUGCAGUUAACACAGUAAGUGUGCCGCCUGGGGAGUACGGUCGCAAGAUUAAAACUCAAAGGAAUAGACGG